CGCCAAUUGUUUUAGGCAAAAUUAAAACUACCUCUACAACUGCCCUUACUACGAUUAAUCUUUACAGACUAUGCCAUGGCUAUUGGAUUCGACGAGCGACACCAUUACUUGCUGGGGGUUCUUUGUCCUCCGACAAUUGCAAUAGGGCGAUGAUGCUAUGAAACUGCGGUGGUUUCGCCAGAUUGGAGAUUAAAAAUCAGGGAACAAGUUUUCAAAUCUUUACUCUUUGCUGAUUUUGCAGUGAAAACAACUUCUAGCAAUUUCAGAGAAAGGCUUUUGAGUUCCACUUGACACACAUACACACACUCUCUCUCUCUACUGGUAAAGGAAGUGGCUUUGGGAUCCUAACCCACUCAUCUUAUCCAAUUUACGCUGCCCAUCUCUCGAAAUCCCCAGGUUUCUACCGUCUGCUAUUUUCUUCGACGCAAUCCCCUAAUUUCAAGGUCGUGGAAGCGGUGAGAUUUGAUGGCUUGAUAAUGGAUAGUGUGGAAUUAUUAUAGAGAGGGAGAAAGUUUAUGGUGUGCACUAUCCCUUAUCAGGAUUCUGAGGUAAAGCACAAUAAUUUAUUUUCAUUUAUAUAUCUGGGAAUUGGUGUUUCGUUGAAGAGGCUGCUGCAGACUUUCUGUUUUGAAGUCAAGAGAGAAGUUUCUCAUCUUUUUCCAAACAAUUUUUGUUUGUUUGCAUCUGAGUUCAUUCUGAGAAUCUUAGAACCAUAUAAUUUUGGAUUUCGACUGCAUAUGGGCUCUCCUUUGGAGCUUCAAAUGUUGUAAGCCAUGGGAGAGUGGAUCAUUGGAGGUUUCAUCAAUCUAUUUGACAAGAUUGCCAUUAACUUUGGGACUAACCUUCUUAAAUUGGGUCACACUGAGACAUCAACUGCGAUACCUUCACAUCUUCACAUCAUGUAAUGAGCUUCAAUGAAUCUGGCUAAAUUAUAUUCACAGAGAGAGGCAUUCUACUCUAGACACUGAUGGAACUAGUGGGAAGAGUCAUUUGAAGCCUAUCAUAUACUUUCAGACUUGGAGAGAUGGUAAAUUCUUGUCUUAGGCUGUCUUAAAUUAUUUGGAGGAAUUCUCUUAUAUAAUAAAGGUGACAUAACUUGUAUUGUUCACCUUGAAUAUUUGAUAUUUGUUGUGCAGGUAUUCUAUUUUUCUUUCUUGGAAAUUGCCUUAAUUUCAUUUUCUUUGGAUAUGCUGCUCAGGUCCGUGUGGAUUAGGUCUGAGCAGAAUUCGGUUCAAACCGAAAAAUCAAACCGAACCGAGUCAAUUCGGUUCAAUCAAUUUGAUUUUAAAAUUCAAUCAGUUCAGUUCAAUUUUACAUUAUAAAAAUUUCGAUUAUCUCAGUUUAGUUCGGUUUUGAAGAGAAAAAAAUCGGUUAAACCGAAUCAAACCGAAUAGUAAUUUAUAUAUUCAAAUCAAACCAAAUCGAAUCGAAUUAAUUUUUGAAUUGAUUUAUUUUUAUGGAAAAUUUAUGAAUUACAUUUAAUUUUAUAUAUAUUAAUUAUUUAAUUUCAUUGAUUAAUGGUUAUUAGGUUCAAACCAAAGUCAAAAUUAGACUAAAUAACUUAAAAAUCAAGUCUAAAUUAAAAAAUCAAUCAAAAAUCAAAACCGAUCGGUUUAAACAAAACCAAACCGAAAUAGAGCAGUUCGAUUCGAUUCAGUUUUUCACCCAUUUCGAUUCGGUUCGGUUCGGUUUCUAAAAUUUAAAAUUCAAUUUUUAUAAUUUAAUUCAGUUCGAUUUGAUUCGAUUCGGUUUGAACCGAAUGCUCACCCCUAGUGUGGAUAAUAUAUUGCUAGGGGCUGCAUACACAUAUAAGUUUUAUCAUUUACCCUUUUUUCUUUCUUGAUGACCAAUCCAGUUCAUACCUUGCAUGAUUGGACAACACAUCGGUGAUAAACAUCUCUUUCCUUUCUUGAACCCUAUUAGUUCCAGCUCAGCUAUACGGAUAUAUAAAAGAACCUCUACUGUAUUUCUUUUCAGAUGUGGCAAUUACAAUUUCUUUUCACCAAAUACAAGUUUUAUCACAUGCUCUAUUUUUCUUCUUUAGAUUACUCUAUUUUCUGCUGCUCUAAUUAUGCUGCCUUUUCCAGGAUCUUUUCUCUAUAGCUAAUGUUGCUGAACAGCAUGAAGUAUGGGAUUUCCUAUUUGUUUCCUCCAAGAAUUACUCCUUUGGGAAAUCUUCCUCAGUUAUAUGAACUCUGGCAGAGAAAUGUCAAGAGCCAUGGUCUAGCAUAAUCUAGUCAAAGUAGGAGUCACUUCCAUCAUAUACAAGGUAUUCUUUGUAGCAAUGCAUCAUUGACAGCAAAGGGCUCACCUAUAGAAGUUGCAGGUAAAUUUUGAACUUAAGCUGCUAUGGCAUGAUUAAUAUGGUGAGUUUUUCUGCUUUCUUUGCAUUCUAUGAAGGCUGCUGCUACUCAAUUAUUCUGAAAGGCAGCCAUCCAUGUGUACUGGGGGCAAUGCACCAUGACUGCCCUGCUUGUUUUGAGGUAGAUUAUAACUCUCUUACCUCUUUUCAUGGCUAUUAUAGAAGUGCAUUUGGACAAUGGCUAGCACCUAACUCUGCAAUUACAAUUCAAAUGAU